UCUGUAAGCUGAUGUCAUGCCUCCCUCCAUUAACAAAUCAUUUGACCUUUCUCCUCUGUUGAUCUUGAAAUUUAAUAUUGCAGUACUUUUGUACACGGCAGGAAUUUAUUUUUGCAGCCCCUCGGUCAUGCUGAUUUCUAAUUAUUAAUUAGGACCACACACACACACCCCCAUUAAUUCCUGACCAGGGUUUUUAUUUUAAUUUAAUGUUUUGUGCAGUAGUAAUCUGCCACAGAAGUGAAUUUAUUUUUAAAAAACAAAUUGAAGUAAUAGUUUUUUUGUUUUUUUAAAUUUGUUCUUGAGAUAUCAUCGUAUCAAAACUAUGGAAAAUCAUAAAAAGCUAUAAGUAUUGUUUGUCUGCCUCUACAGUUACAUACAUUCACUCAUUUCAUCUCCGUCACUUGUUCCCUUCCACUUCUUCUCUCCUCUGCUCUCCCUGGUUAACUCCUCUUCGAAAGUGGUACCGCCAUUCACUCCUUAAUUUUAGUCCUCUGAUAAUUAUAAGAAAACAAUCUUGCUGAUUUCUUUUCCCAGCUAAAGUUUUAUCUUCUUGCAAGUAAUUCCUUUGAGGUAGGUAAUUUUAAAUAGCUAGAGCUAGCCAUGGUGAUGAUGGGACUAGAGAGGUUGAUGGUGUUCUUGAAAUCCAGAAUGAGGUUCUUGAAGAUGAAGAAACCUUAUGAUAAGAUUGAGAAGAGUGAGAGCAUGAGAGUUGAAAUAAGAAGCAGGAAGGCCAGGAAGCUCGUUGAAGAGACAUUGAAGAUCGCUGAUUCUCCAAAGACCAAGACGUAUGCUUUCUGAUCAGUACUGUUCUUGAGUAUAUAUUGAAGAUAAUAUUUACAUGUCCUUUCUCUUUUAAUUAUUAAUUAUUAAUCUCGUCUUGUCUUCUGUUCCUCCAUGGCUAAGCUCUGUCAUGGAUGAUACAAUAGCACAGCUCCAUUCCCCCCC